UACGUAGGGUGCAAGCGUUAAUCGGAAUACUGGGCGUAAGGCGUGCGCAGGCGGUUUUGUAAGUCUGUCGUGAAAUCCCCGGGCUCAACCUGGGAAUUGCGAUGGAGACUGCAAGGCUAGAAUCUGGCAGAGGGGGGUAGAAUUCCACGUGUAGCAGUGAAAUGCGUAGAGAUGUGGAGGAACACCGAUGGCGAAGGCAGCCCCCCUGGGUCAAGAUUGACGCUCAUGCACGAAAGCGUGG
rnacentral:rRNA from 1 species